CCUACGGGGUGCACCAGUGGGGAAUAUUGGACAAUGGGCGCAAGCCUGAUGCAGCCAUGCCGCGUGUAUGAAGAAGGCCUUCGGGUUGUGAAGUACUUUCAGCGGGGAGGAAGGUGUUGUGGUUAAUAACCACAGCAAUUGACGUUACCCGCAGAAGAAGCACCGGCUAACUCCGUGCCAGCAGCCGCGGUAAUACGGAGGGUGCAAGCGUUAAUCGGAAUUACUGGGCGUAAAGCGCACGCAGGCGGUCUGUCAAGUCGGAUGUGUAAUCCCCGGGCUCAACCUGGGAACUGCAUUCGAAACUGGCAGGCUGGAGUCUUGUAGAGGGGGGUGGAAUUCCAGGUGUAGCGGUGAAAUGCGUAGAGAUCUGGAGGAAUACCGGUGGCGAAGGCGGCCCCCUGGACAAAGACUGACGCUCAGGUGCGAAAGCGUGGGGAGCAAACAGGAUUAGAUACCCCCGUAGUC
rnacentral:rRNA from 1 species